AUGUACGAGAGUUAUCUCUACGAGAUGGCUAAGUCUGUUUAGGACGUUUAGAGUUUGUUGUGAUCAGCAACAAACUUAAUGGUUAAAAUUACCGUUUUGAGUCUUUGCGAAGGAUAUGUUUGAGAAGAUGUUAGUGCGUAUGACUAUCUGGUCUUCCAAGAAAGUGUUUUUAUCGAGGAAGGAAAUUUCGUCGAAGAACGAAUCUUCAGGUGUCUGCGACGUCUCGCGAUG
rnacentral:lncRNA from 1 species